GACGAACGCUGGCGGCGUGCCUAAUACAUGCAAGUAGAACGCACAGUUUAUACCGUAGCUUGCUACACCAUAGACUGUGAGUUGCGAACGGGUGAGUAACGCGUAGGUAACCUGCCUGGUAGCGGGGGAUAACUAUUGGAAACGAUAGCUAAUACCGCAUAAUAUUGAUUAUUGCAUGAUAAUUAAUUGAAAGGUGCAAUUGCAUCACUACCAGAUGGACCUGCGUUGUAUUAGCUAGUAGGUGAGGUAACGGCUCACCUAGGCGACGAUACAUAGCCGACCUGAGAGGGUGAUCGGCCACACUGGGACUGAGACACGGCCCAGACUCCUACGGGAGGCAGCAGUAGGGAAUCUUCGGCAAUGGACGAAAGUCUGACCGAGCAACGCCGCGUGAGUGAAGAAGGUUUUCGGAUCGUAAAGCUCUGUUGUAAGAGAAGAACGGGUGUGAGAGUGGAAAGUUCACACUGUGACGGUAGCUUACCAGAAAGGGACGGCUAACUACGUG
rnacentral:rRNA from 1 species